rnacentral:rRNA from 1 species
GUAACGUAGGUGCAAGGCGUUGUCCGGAAUUAUUGGGUCGUAAAGAGCGUGUAGGCGGUUAUACAGGUCCGCUGUGAAACUGGAGGCUUAACCUCCAGACGUCGGUGGAAACCGUAUAACUAGAGUCGGAAGAGGAGAGUGGAAUUCCUGGUGUAGCGGUGAAAUGACGUAGAGAUCCGGAGGAACACCAAAGGCGCAGGCAGGGUCCUGGCAAGCCACUGACGCUCAUGGACGAAAGCUAGGGAGCGAACGGG